rnacentral:rRNA from 1 species
UACGUAGGGGGCAAGCGUUGUCCGGAUUUAUUGGGCGUAAAGAGCGUGUAGGCGGCCAUGUAGGUCCGUUGUGAAAACUCGAGGCUCAACCUCGAGACGCCGAUGGAAACCAUGUGGCUAGAGUCCGGAAGAGGAGAGUGGAAUUCCUGGUGUAGCGGUGAAAUGCGCAGAUAUCAGGAAGAACACCGGUGGUGUAGACGGCUUUCUGGACCGUAACUGACGCUGAGACACGAAAGCGUGGGUAGCAAACAGG